CCCUGGUUAGCUCAGUUGGUAGAGCGCUCCACCUGUAAUGGAGAGGUCCCAGGUUUAAUACCCGAACCAGGCG
rnacentral:tRNA from 2 species